GUGAUUACAUUAUUUGUUUUACAAAAUUAAUGCCAAUCCUAAGGUAUUAACAAUCUCCCCCUUUGGCAAAUUUUAGCUAAAACAAAUAAGCCUUACACUAGACACUACAUCCCAAUAUGGGUAUGCACUUCCUCUCUAUCAUUAUCUCCACCACCACAAACACCAAAGCUGGUGUACAUGAGGAAGUAGAUGUACAAGAAUCAGUUGCAU
rnacentral:lncRNA from 1 species